rnacentral:rRNA from 1 species
AUUGAACGCUGGCGGCGUGCCUUACACAUGCAAGUCGAACGGUAACAGGUCUUCGGAUGCUGACGAGUGGCGAACGGGUGAGUAAUACAUCGGAACGUGCCUAGUAGUGGGGGAUAACUACUCGAAAGAGUGGCUAAUACCGCAUGAGAUCUACGGAUGAAAGCAGGGGAUCGCAGGACCUUGUGCUACUAGAGCGGCCGAUGGCAGAUUAGGUAGUUGGUGGGAUAAAAGCUUACCAAGCCGACGAUCUGUAGCUGGUCUGAGAGGACGAUCAGCCACACUGGGACUGAGACACGGCCCAGACUCCUACGGGAGGCAGCAGUGGGGAAUUUUGGACAAUGGGCGAAAGCCUGAUCCAGCAAUGCCGCGUGCAGGAUGAAGGCCUUCGGGUUGUAAACUGCUUUUGUACGGAACGAAAAGCCCUGGGUUAAUACCCUGGGGUCAUGACGGUACCGUAAGAAUAAGCACCGGCUAACUACGUGCCAGCCGCCGCCGUAAGAC